rnacentral:rRNA from 1 species
UAGAGUUUGAUCCUGGCUCAGAUUGAACGCUGGCGGCAGGCCUAACACAUGCAAGUCGAACGGUAACAGGAAGAAGCUUGCCUCUUUGCUGACGAGUGGCGGACGGGUGAGUAAUGUCUGGGAAACUGCCUGAUGGAGGGGGAUAACUACUGGAAACGGUAGCUAAUACCGCAUAACGUCGCAAGACCAAAGAGGGGGACCUUCGGGCCUCUUGCCAUCGGAUGUGCCCAGAUGGGAUUAGCUAGUAGGUGGGGUAACGGCUCACCUAGGCGACGAUCCCUAGCUGGUCUGAGAGGAUGACCAGC